rnacentral:rRNA from 1 species
GGCGGCAUGCCUUACACAUGCAAGUCGAACGGCAGCAUGGAAGAGCUUGCUCUUCUGAUGGCGAGUGGCGAACGGGUGAGUAAAGCAUCGGAACGUACCGUGUAGUGGGGGAUAACGUAGCGAAAGUUACGCUAAUACCGCAUACGCACUGAGGUGGAAAGCAGGGGAUCGCAAGACCUUGCGCUAUACGAGCGGCCGAUGUCAGAUUAGCUAGUUGGUAGGGUAAAGGCCUACCAAGGCGACGAUCUGUAGCGGGUCUGAGAGGAUGAUCCGCCACACUGGGACUGAGACACGGUCCAGACUCCUACGGGAGGCAGCAGUGAGGAAUAUUGCGCAAUGGGGGCAACCCUGACGCAGCAACGCCGCGUGAGUGAGGAAGGUUUUCGGACCGUAAAGCUCUGUCGAGCGGGAAGAAAUGUAUCAUGGCUAAUAUCCAUGAUACUUGACGGUACCGCUAAAGGAAGCACCGGCUAACUCCGUG